rnacentral:rRNA from 1 species
AUUGAACGCUGGCGGCAUGCCUUACACAUGCAAGUCGAACGGUAACGAGCCUUCGGGUGCCGACGAGUGGCGAACGGGUGAGUAAUACAUCGGAACGUGCCCGAUCGUGGGGGAUAACGAGGCGAAAGCUUUGCUAAUACCGCAUACGAUCUACGGAUGAAAGCAGGGGACCGCAAGGCCUUGCGCGGACGGAGCGGCCGAUGGCAGAUUAGGUAGUUGGUGGGAUAAAAGCUUACCAAGCCGACGAUCUGUAGCUGGUCUGAGAGGAUGAUCAGCCACACUGGGACUGAGACACGGCCCAGACUCCUACGGGAGGCAGCAGUGGGGAAUUUUGGACAAUGGGCGCAAGCCUGAUCCAGCCAUGCCGCGUGCAGGAUGAAGGCCUUCGGGUUGUAAACUGCUUUUGUACGGAACGAAAAGCCUUCUUUUAAUACAGGAGGGUCAUGACGGUACCGUAAGAAUAAGCACCGGCUAACUACGU